rnacentral:misc_RNA from 1 species
GGAAGUAAAGUCGUAACAAGGUUUCCGUAGGUGAACCUGCGGAAGGAUCAUUAAAGAAUUUAAAGAGUGCACUUCAUUGUGGCUCGACAUUUUCUACCAUUCACCCUAGUGCACUGUAAUACCUUUUUUUAUUAGACUCUACAAAGUUAUUGAAUGUAACACUUUUUUAUAAAGAAAUAAAACUUUUAACAACGGAUCUCUUGGCUCUC